AUAGAAUUGACCGACGUGAAUGGAAUGAACGAACCUAACGUUAAGUGUGCAUCACACUUCACAUCCUACGCUGGGACAUAAAACCGGUAAAUUAAUAAUUUACUUAAAACUGAGUUAGAUAUACUUAAAUAAUUAGUUUUACGUACUUAUAACGUACAAUGAUACUAAAAACCUUCGUAGAAUAAGUUUUAAUACCAAUUUAACAUUUUUUGCUGUUUGUCGAAUAUAAUUUUAAUAGAUUAAGCAGUAGUGUCAAGACUGUCAAUGUCAAAUUCAUUGUUUACUGUCUCAUGGCUGUCUUGAUGUCGCCGAUGUUUGUCUGUUGUACCACAUAUUUUAAUAUUAUAAAAUUUGUAUUUACAUUGAAAAGUUCCAGACUAGUGGGAAUCACAAUGGACCUACAGUGAGCACCCUGGCAAGGAAUAUGUUCAAGCUUAUAGCUUCCAGCUAUUGCUGGAAAAUGGAAAUUUCUAUAAUGAUAUGGAGGCCAACAAAGACUCCAGAGGAUGUCUGGCAGCGCCUCAUAGGGCUAUCCUGCCCUCGACUCCCAGUCUACCAGCCGCGCCGGUCCGUCGCCUAAUCACAACUCCAACCCGGUCAACCGCAACAGGAGCCACAAGAAUGUGAGGUGGUGCUGGAGAUGAAGGUGAUCGAA